GCCGCGUGAGUGAAGAAGGUUUUCGGAUCGUAAAACUCUGUUGUUAGGGAAGAACAAGUACCGGAGUAACUGCCGGUACCUUGACGGUACCUGACCAGAAAGCCACGGCUAACUACGUGCCAGCAGCCGCGGUAAUACGUAGGUGGCAAGCGUUGUCCGGAAUUAUUGGGCGUAAAGCGCGCGCAGGCGGCCUUUUAAGUCUGAUGUGAAAGCCCCCGGCUCAACCGGGGAGGGUCAUUGGAAACUGGAAGGCUUGAGUGCAGAAGAGAAGAGCGGAAUUCCACGUGUAGCGGUGAAAUGCGUAGAGAUGUGGAGGAACACCAGUGGCGAAGGCGGCUCUUUGGUCUGUAACUGACGCUGAGGCGCGAAAGCGUGGGGAGCGAACAGGAUUAGAUACCCUGGUAGUCCACGCCGUAAACGAUGAGUGCUAAGUGUUGGGGGGUUUCCGCCCCUCAGUGCUGCAGCUAACGCAUUAAGCACUCCGCCUGGGGAGUACGGCCGCAAGGCUGAAACUCAAAGGAAUUGACGGGGGCCCGCACAAGCGGUGGAGCAUGUGGUUUAAUUCGAAGCAACGCGAAGAACCUUACCAGGUCUUGACAUCCCGCUGACCGUCCUGGAGACAGGAUUUUCCCUUCGGGGACAGCGGUGACAGGUGGUGCAUGGUUGUCGUCAGCUCGUGUCGUGAGAUGUUGGGUUAAGUCCCGCAACGAGCGCAACCCUUGAUCUUAGUUGCCAGCAUUUAGUUGGGCACUCUAAGGUGACUGCCGGUGACAAACCGGAGGAA
rnacentral:rRNA from 1 species